AGGUAGCUUGCUACUUUAACUUUAGCGGCGGACGGGUGAGUAACGCGUGAGCAACCUGCCCUAUACACAGGGAUAACAUUGAGAAAUCGAUGCUAAUACCAGAUAAACUAACGGUUAAGCAUUUAACAGUUAGAAAAGCUGAGGCGGUAUAGGAUGGGCUCGCGCCUGAUUAGCUAGUUGGUAAGGUAAAGGCUUACCAAGGCGACGAUCAGUAGCCGACCUGAGAGGGUGAACGGCCACAUUGGAACUGAGACACGGUCCAAACUCCUACGGGAGGCAGCAGUGGGGAAUAUUGCACAAUGGGGGGAACCCUGAUGCAGCAACGCCGCGUGGAGGAAGAAGUAUUUCGGUAUGUAAACUUCUAUCGAUAGGGAAGAAAAAAAUGACGGUACCUAAAUAAGAAGCACCGGCUAAAUACGUGCCAGCAGCCGCGGUAAUACGUAUGGUGCAAGCGUUAUCCGGAAUUACUGGGUGUAAAGGGUGAGUAGGCGGUUAUGCAAGUCAUAUGUGAAAGACUGUGGCU
rnacentral:rRNA from 1 species